rnacentral:tRNA from 1 species
GGCCCUGUAGCUCAACUGGAUAGAGUACCUGACUACGGAUCAGGAGGUUAAAGGUUCGAAUCCUUUCAGGGUCACAA